rnacentral:rRNA from 1 species
AUUGAACGCUGGCGGCAUGCCUUACACAUGCAAGUCGAACGGUAACGGGCCUUCGGGUGCCGACGAGUGGCGAACGGGUGAGUAAUACAUCGGAACGUGUCCGAUCGUGGGGGAUAACGAGGCGAAAGCUUUGCUAAUACCGCAUACGAUCUACGGAUGAAAGCAGGGGACCGCAAGGCCUUGCGCGGACGGAGCGGCCGAUGGCAGAUUAGGUAGUUGGUGGGAUAAAAGCUUACCAAGCCGACGAUCUGUAGCUGGUCUGAGAGGAUGAUCAGCCACACUGGGACUGAGACACGGCCCAGACUCCUACGGGAGGCAGCAGUGGGGAAUUUUGGACAAUGGGCGCAAGCCUGAUCCAGCCAUGCCGCGUGCAGGAUGAAGGCCUUCGGGUUGUAAACUGCUUUUGUACGGAACGAAAAGCCUUCUUUUAAUACAGGAGGGUCAUGACGGUACCGUAAGAAUAAGCACCGGCUAACUACGUG